GCCAGACUCCUACGGGAGGCAGCAGUGAGGAAUAUUGGUCAAUGGGCGCAAGCCUGAACCAGCCAAGUCGCGUGAGGGAUGACGGUCCUAUGGAUUGUAAACCUCUUUUGUCGGGGAGCAAGGCCCGCCACGUGUGGCGGGAAGGAGAGUGCCCGAAGAAAAAGCAUCGGCUAACUCCGUGCCAGCAGCCGCGGUAAUACGGAGGAUGCGAGCGUUAUCCGGAUUUAUUGGGUUUAAAGGGUGCGUAGGCGGGCUUUUAAGUCAGCGGUAAAAAUUCGGGGCUCAACCCCGUCCGGCCGUUGAAACUGGGGGCCUUGAGUGGGCGAGAAGAAGGCGGAAUGCGUGGUGUAGCGGUGAAAUGCAUAGAUAUCGCGCAGAACCCCGAUUGCGAAGGCAGCGUACCGGCUCCACACUGACGCUGAGUCACGAAAGCGUGGGUAUCGAACAGGAUUAGAUACCCCAGUA
rnacentral:rRNA from 1 species